CCUACGGGGGGCAGCAGUAGGGAAUCUUCCACAAUGGGCGAAAGCCUGAUGGAGCAACGCCGCGUGGGUGAAGAAGGUCUUCGGAUCGUAAAACCCUGUUGUUAGAGAAGAAAGUGCGUGAGAGUAACUGUUCACGUUUCGACGGUAUCUAACCAGAAAGCCACGGCUAACUACGUCCCAGCAGCCGCGGUAAUACGUAGGUGGCAAGCGUUAUCCGGAUUUGUUUGGCGUAAAAGUACCGCAGGCGGUCUUUUAAGUCUGAUGUGAAAGCCUUCGGCUGAACCGGAGUAGUGCAUUGGACACUGGGAGACUUGAGUGCAGAAGAGGAGAGUGGAACUCCAUGUG
rnacentral:rRNA from 1 species